GGAGAGCCCGCAGCCAGCCCCAAAUUUGCAGAAAGGAGAAGGGCUACAGGCCAGAGAAAUAACUCCCUCUGAAAUCCCUUGGGCUCACAGCUCUGCAGCGGGGGUAAAUCAGCUCGAGAAGACCUCGGUUGUACCUUCCACGGGCUGGAAAAUGGGCACGGCAAAGAUAGGCACGGCCUGAUCCCUGGAGCCUGCGAAUGCUACUUUCCAUGGCAGCGUCUUUGCAGUCUUGCUGUGUGGCUUUAGGCAGAUCGUGCAACCUCUCUGAGAGACGCUUUAGUCCGGGGAUGUCCACUCUUUUAACUUCCCUGGGCCACAUUGGAAGAAGAAUUUGUCUUGGGCCACACAUAAAAUACUCUUAACACUGGCGGGGCGCGGUGGCUCACGCCUGUAAAUCCCAGCACUUUGUGAGGCCGAGGCUGGUGGAUCACCUGACAUCAGAAGUUUGAGACCAGCCUGGCCAACGUGGCAAAACCCCGUGUCUACUAAAGAUAGAAAAAAUAAGCUGGGCAUGGUGGCCUGCGCCUGUAAUCCCAGCUACUCGGGAGGCCAAGGCAGGAGAAUCGCUUGACCUGGAAGGCAGAGGUUGACGUGAGCCCAGAUCGGGCCACUGCACUCCAGCCUGGGUGAGAGAGAGAGACUUUGUCUCAGAGAAAAAAAAAAAAAAAACGAAAACAAAAACAAAAACCAAAACUUAGGCGUUUUAAGAAAAUUUACCAAUUUGUCUUGGGCCACAAGCUGCCCGUGCGGUUGGACAAGCUGGCUUUAGUCCAUUCUUUGGAAGGGGAGGGGUAGUAAAAUAAUACCAAAGUGCCUUGUAAAUUGUAAAAGGUCCCACAUAUUAUAGGCUAUUAAGAAUGCUCCCAGGGGAGGGAAAUAUUAAAACACUUAAAACCCAUUUCACAUUUAUACCUUUAGUAUGAUUAGUUUAUAUGUAUAGGCCGGGAGCAGUGGCUCACGUCUGUAAUCCCAGCACUUUGGGAGUCUGAGGCAUGCAGAUCACUUGAGGUCAGGAGUUCGAGACCAGCCUGGCCAACAUGAUGAGACGCCCAUCUCUACUAAAACUACAAAAAUUAGCCAGGCGUCGUGGCGGGUGCCUACAAUCCUGGCUACUCGGGAGGCUGAGGCAGGAGAAUCACAACCUGGGAGGCGGAGGUUCAGUGAGCUGAGAUCACGCCACUGCACUUCAGCUUGGGUGACAGAGCAAGACUUCAUCUCAAAUUAAAAUAUAAAAAUUUGUAUGUAUUUACUCAACAAACAUUUCUGCAGAGAUCAACAAUGUGCCAGGGCCUCUAGACUCAGAUACCAGUGCCUGAGGCAGAGAAAGAGACUGCCCAAAGAUAAUUUUUGAAUAGUUUGUAGCAAGUCAGCAAGAAGGAAGGAGGGUCUGGGGAAGGAGGGACCAAGGCUGUGUUCUGAAUGUUGCUAGAGGAGAAAAGGUUCUGUAAGGGACAGAGGGAUGCAGUCUAGAGGGGUAGGGAGCAGGUGGGAGGCUGCUUCCCAGACUUCACUACUUGGGAGGCCCACAGACUUGGGCUAUGGCAGCCGUUGUUACUAUGGCUUAAGGGAGAGAAACAGAAGUGUGGAUGCUUCUAACAAAGAGAUAAAGAAUAAAUACAUAAAGAGGGUAGGUAUUGCAUUGUUUUAUUUUUACGUACCCCUAAAGAGGGGUUAGAGGCCGGGCGUGGUGGCUUAUGC
rnacentral:lncRNA from 10 species